UUGAUUCGUCUCUCCGCAUCCGCGUUCCGUAGAUUUUGAUCCGUAGGUCAUUUUUCCGCUUUUCGUACUACCGAUUUUUUUUGCGGUCUAUGCUUGGAUUUUGCGCAUGCCCGAUGACGAUCACGAUGACCCCCCAACCUGAUGACUGGAUGGACGGAUGGAUGGAUAGAUCGAUGGAUGGACUCCGGAUUUGAGCUCCCCGGAACCACCCUUUGCUUUUGCAAGGUCCGGGGGUUCUGAAAUGGCUAAUGCAGUGUUGGCUUUAGGAAAAAUAGAAGCAGCGGAAAUGCUCGCUUCUAAAAGGCUUAAAGGCUAGUAAAGGCAAACGGGGCUCCCGGGACGUCUGGCAGAAUGCUUGGCCUCCUGGCAUUUCUCAAGAACAAUAGCUAAGGGUCCCGAUACUACCACUUGGGCGCCCGCUCGACCCAGUUGGGUACUACUCACCUGCCGGCCCCGAGCUUUGGGAUCUGAUACUACACCGCUGCUUAAUCCCUUAGUGGAGAUAAGAUAAGAAAAAAAAGGUAACGAGCUAAGCAAGCAAGCGCCGUAUCUUUCAGUUUGACGAAGCUAGCCUGAACUCAACAGAUAGCUCUGUACCUCAUCCCGAUCACAAGGAGAGGUUCCCCAUGAUGGGGGGUCAGCAUGCUCGGGAUGCCUGGGAUCGGAUGACCACUCUCACUGACAAGUGGGACUGCUCUUGCGGCAGGCUCGUCACCUCCUCCUCCCUUCUAUUGGUACUGCAACUGAUGCUCCGAUCCGGACUUGGAUUGAUUGCUUCUGUUGCUAGGGAAACCUAGCUAUCUAGCUUGGCUGGAUUCUUCUUCUUCUUCUUCUGCUCCUCCUCCUCGUCCUCCUUCCCCGAGACAUGCAUCAGUGCCAGCGUUGAAGCCUACUGCAUUAGCUUCUGAUGGAGAUCAAACAAGGUUGUCAAAUCUGAGGGCUAUGAGCUAUGUGGUAGUAUAAAUAUUCUGGUGUUUCAACUGGAAUAAAUUUUAUCACCUAUUAUUUGGGAGUCUGUGUGAACAAGCUUGAAAACAAUGAGGGUGUUCAUGUUUUAUUGCGUUGAUAGGAUGCUUUGAUGUAAUUCUCACUUCUCACUGAGGGGGCUUGAGCAUGUGGGUUGUGGCAUGUAGCAGAGAUAUUGCAAGGUUUAUUUGUAGUACCCAUCCUCUGUUUGUUUUUCAUCUCCUGACUGAUGCUCCCAAGGCUUAAAGCAUUGUUUUAAAAAGCAUUCUUCCUUUGAUGGAUCAAGAUAUGCAUCUUUAAAUCAAAACAACACGUACUCAACGGUCCUUCGUGUAUAGUGUUGCUACUGUUACUAUAGUUGCUUGGCUUGCAUUUUGGUGUUAAUAUUUAUUGUAUGAGUGUUUUUCAUUGAGUUUUAAUGAACUUAUGAAUUCUGACCAUCUCUUAUGCCACCCAUAAAUCCCAUAACUGUUUUGCUGUACUGCAUAUAGUGAAAUCGUUAAUUUUAGCCCUUUAUUUUAGGCCAUCUUUUAGUUUUACUGUCGUGCUGCUUGGUUUGUCUUUUGGCCCGAUGAUGAUGAAACUUGUGGAUGGAUAAUGGACUGAAACAGAUUUGAGCUUGUUGGGAUCGACCUAUGCAGUUGAAAGGUGUAGAUCUAGAUCCUAAAAUGGAUUGUGCUGUGUUGGCUUCCCCAAGAUCUGUGCGCUGAAGCAUGCUGAGGUAUUGGAUGACAGACACAUGGGUCAACCAUGUGGUUGGUGAACUGUCCCUGUUUCUUUCUUUCUUUCUUCUACUUCAUCCUCCGUUUUGUUGCAACUGCCGGCAUGCUCUCCAUCAUCAUCAUCAUCCUCGUUUUUCUAUUCUAAUGAUACCUUGGGACAUGCUCUAGUGCCAAUUUUGGAGCCCACUGCAUUAUCCUUUGGUGAAACAUGGUGUUACAUGCAUGCCACAUAGUCUGAGGGCCAUUUGGUGAGACCAUUGGUAAUUUGGUAUUUUUUAUUCUCUUUACCUUUUUAUGUGGAUUCAUCUUUUUAAGUUGAAGAUUCUCCUUCAGUUUGGUUUAUUAUGGUGAGCUUGGUGUCAUACUCAAGUGGAAGUUGAUCUUCUGUUGUAAGAUGUGACUUGCCAGGAAUUUUGAGAUCAUAUUUCCGUAUGUUUGUGGCUUUGCACCUCUUGUAACACAAAUUUCUUUUUGAGUUGUUCCCCUUUUUGCUCUCCAAUUUGGGAAGUUAUGUCUGCAGCAAUUUAUAGUUUUAUGAAAGAGUGACUUGCCAUCUUUUGGACAAUGAAUGUCAGCAUGAUCUUUAAUAAUUUAUAUAUAAAAUAUGUGUUUCCCAAUGAUGAAAAGUGAAUAUGCAAGAUAGCAUUUGCUUUCCUCCUCUUCCACCAUCAUCUUCUCCCUCCCUCCCGCUUUUUCUUCUGCCAUUGAUGAAUUAUGUACCUGUGAGUUCUGAGGGCAUGCUGUUUCUUUUAAUUGCAUAUAUUCAUUUUUAGUUUCUUCUUUUAAUAAAUAUAUUCACAUUUUCAUCUGCCAAGUUUGCCUCUGUUAGUUUGAUUGGAGAGUUCUCUUGUGUUCCUGCCUCUUAUGUUAGAUUUAUUAGUAUUAUUGGUUUUUAAAUCCUUAGAUUUUUAUCUAUGAUGGUAUAGCUUUGCCCGGAAAUUACUUUGCACUUCUAGUAUCUUUUUUUUAUCCAGAUUCUUGUUUUGUUUCAUUGACAGUGUUUGUGUCUCUUAUUUAGUUUAUUCAGCUUGGAAACUCAUCUGACUGUUUGUGUUUAUAAGGAUGACUCGGUUGUAAACCAGGUUCUGUAUGAGGUCCAAGUGGGUAAUUAUUGCAAAUUAUAGUUCCUAAAGUGGGCAGUCCAUAGUUCAUUUCACUGCUAUGUUCAAAGUUCAAACCAAUAUCUGGUUACCAACAGGUGGUCGCACCCCUGCAGUGCAGCCAACUCUCGCCCUUGCCACCUGGAUUUUGUGGUUGCCUUAUAAUGAUCAUGAUGACCCCAUUAUCUGAUGAAUGGAUGUAUGGAUAAAUAGAUUGGCUAGGAUUUGAGCUCCAUGGAGUCACCCAAUACGUUUGCAAAGUUGGAGCUCCAUAAAUUGCUCCGGCAGUGUGGGCUUCUGUGUCCUAGGCACACAGCAUACUUGGGGAUCGAAUGAUCACUCCACUGACAAAUGGAACUGCCCCUGUGGUAGGCUCCUCACCUCCUCCUUCUCCUCUGCUUCCUCCCCUCUACUGGCAUUGCAAGUGCAGAUCCAUCCAGAAAUGGAUUGAUUUCUUCUUCUGCUGGUAACAAAGCGUAGCUUGCUUGGACGGAUUCCUAUGUGUUCUGCAUUAGAUUAAAAUGCAAACCAAACCGGGUUGUCGAAUCUUAGGGCUAUUUAAUACAAUAAACAUUUUGAUGUUUAACAGUCAGGCUCUUUUUUAAAGCAAACAAUCAGGGUGUUGAUAUUUUAUUCCUUGGUGUAGGAUACUGGAAUUGUGGAAUGUCAGCGAUUUUGGACCCAAUUCUCUUUAAACAAUUGCCCAAUGAUGAUAAAUCAAAUAUGCAGAGAUGGCACAUUCCUCCCUCCCUCCCUCCCUCCCUCCCUAGCUAGCUAGCUGGCUAGGUGCCAGCUAUCUAUCUAUCUAUCUAUCCAGGGUGCUGCGGCGGCGGCGGCACCGGCACAGCAGCAGCAGCAAUAAGAAUCCUUUCUGAACUGCUCAGUUUUACUGCCAGUUCAUACCUUGUGCCAUCAUUAAAUACUGCAUCUACAAGAUCUGAGGGCUCAAUGUUUCAUUCCCACCUAGAAAACUCCAAUUUUGUUCUUAUCCAUCCAUAUGUUUCUAUUUUCUUCUCAUCUUUCCGUUGAAUAAGUGUCUUUGGGAGUGUAAAUUGUUCCUACAUUGUGGUGAAGGAAUGCUGUUGACCCUUAUUAGGCAUGCUACUCAUUUUAGCAAAUGACGAUUUCUUGUUUCGCAAUACGCAUUGUAAAGCUGGCAAUACAACAACAACAACAACAACAACAUAGCCUUUUUUCCCAAGCAAGUUGGGGUAGGCUAGAGAUGAAACCCGAAAGAAAUAAGUUGGCAAUAUUCUUCUUAAUUCUUGCGUGUGUGUGCAUUCAUCUACCUGGAUGUAUAUGGCUGACAAGUGUUAAGGGUAUAAUAAGUCAAGGGUAGUAUUGUAACAUCAUAGUGUUUAGGGUUUGGAGCUACUGGAGGAGAUGCCGCCCCCGGGAGGGAAGAUCGAUCCUCCCGGGGACGGCGCAACGGAGAUCGACGAGGGUGGGGGCCGGAUCGAGACCUAGAGCUCUAUUACCAUGUUAGGAAGAAGAGAAGCUGAAAUGGAUCGAUACAUUGACCAGCCCCAAAUAGGGAUACAUAUAGCACAUGAGAGCACCCAAACCCUAGACACUAGGAUAUUACAAUACUACCCUUGAUUGUUAUACGCUUAACAACAAGCACACUUCCAACCACCCUUUAUUUUAUCCCUAUUUCUCCCAUCCAGCCAAGAAUCUAGCCAUCUCCUAUGUGAUAUUUUAACCUCGGGAUACUGGUGCCUUAAGAGAAGUAUGUGGUUUCAUAGUGUUUUUGCUACAAGCUAUUGCGACUGUCUUCUUAAUUUGUCAAUUACAGAAAAAGAAACCCAUACUCUAAGUUUCUUUGCCUUAUAGCUGAUUCUGAAUUGAUUGACACAUUUUCUUAAUUGUGUUUCUUCUUUGCAGUUCAAAAAAUUCGUUUUGUACUUGUGGCAACUUGGUGAAUAACCAUCUUCAAGAUUGCGUGGUGCUGCACAAAACCAUGAGGCUUGGGUAGUGUGUGUUGGCAUGAAAUACUCAGUCCAUUGGGCAAGGUUUCACGAGAUUUCAUAAAUUGUUCAGAAUUUACAUAGCAUUGUUGUGUGCCUUGCCUUUUUUUUCACUUUUUAUGGGGUGUUAGUUCUGUAUCCUUCUCUUUGUUAUUUGGUUGCUUCUAUGGCUAUUUAAGAAAAAACUAUGCCAGCCUAGGAGGAACUAGAUGGCUUUGUAUUAAAAAGGAAAUAAGCAGCCAAAUUAGCUCGGGUGGUCUACAUGUACAUCCACACUCAACCAACUGAGCUACGCUCAGCUUCCUUAUAUGGCUAUUUUCUUAUUGAUGAUAAUGCUUGCUUACUAAUCAAGUGCCAAUAAACAUACUUACCUCAUAAUUAAUGUUAGCAUGUCAUAAAUUGCUCAUAUUUUGAAAUAUUUCAUUUGUGGCUCUACCAUAGAUAUACAAGCCAUCUUAUUACAAAUUAGGUUUUUACAGAAUGCAUGUUUGUUUACACUGUCCACCAGAAAAUGCAUGCCUGUCAACACAGCCCACCUGUUUUCCUAUCUGUUCUAUCUUGUGCAACUACUUUUCUCCACUACUAUAGCAUUCUAUUAAUUUAUUUUCGUUCUCUUCUGGUGCAUUGUAGUUUGCACAUGAUCAACUAACAUUAGAUUAUGGAUCCUUUAUAAACUCGCUUGGUGCAAGAAUAACACAUUAUUGCUGAUCAUCACUGGACUGAGGCCUUUGGCCCAUGACUUCGGCUGUUGAAAUGGCAGAGUUUGUUUUACUCUGGGACGUACUGUAGCGGCUCACUCUUGUUGACAAUCCUGACACAAUCAGAUGGAAAUGGACAAGUGAUGGCAUCUACACAGCUAAAUCUGCAUACAGAGUUCAGUUACAUGGCACCUAUAGCACUUUCAAGAGCUCCUGGGUUUGGAAAGCUUUUGCAGAGGGCAAGCACAAGUUCUUCACUUGGCUAUUGCUGCAGCACAAGAUCCUGACUGCGGACAAGCUACUCAUAAGAAACUGGCCUUGCAACGAGACAUGUACCUUCUGUGGCCAAGAGCUUGAGACUGCACCACAUUCUUUGCCUGACUUGGUACUGCACAGUGGAGAUCUGGAUCAAAGUGAAGAACUGGACAUGUUACUCUUUCAAUGUGCGGAAUCUAGGUGAUGUUUCUUUUGCAGACUGGUGGCAUUCAAACUUGGCAACUGUCAAAGGAAGAUUGAGAAGAAAUGUGGCGGCUGUCAUCAUGUUUACAGUCUGGCACAUUUGGAAAGAAAGGAACCAGCACGUUUUUUAAGGCAAAACCUGCUCCUCUGGCCGGGUAUUCGGCUUCAUUCGAGAAGACAUCGCCUUGCACAAAGCAGCUUGCAAUAUUCCUGAGAUCGAAUGCGACUUUGUUCCCUCAUGAAGACGUUCUACCUUCACUUACUGUUUGUUUCAGAGUUGUUUUGUGCUCUUUUGCUAGCCUCUGUCUGUUCAGGGAGUGUGUUUCAAUUUGAGUGUGUCCGAUUUCUUGUAAUAUUAAACCUACUGUAAGACUGGCUUGCUUCCCUCCUUAUAUGCCAUAGCAGUGCUCCUGCUUUAUUAAAAAAAAAA